CUUGUCACAGGGCUCAAGCACCAAGUAAGAUGUGGUUGCUUUGUACCGAUGCUCGGUUCAAGAUUCCUGGAAUGAGGAUGAUUAUAAUCUGCAGCAACUUCCAGAAAGCUAGUGGGUGUUGCUAGAAGUGGAUUCUGAUGAGUGGAUGAAAAAGAGCAAUGAAUAUCAGGAUUAACGUUGAAGUUCUUUGCCAGCUCAGUUAUGUCCAGCUGAUUUAAUACAGGAAGAAACGUCCCUGAGCCAGAAUUCAGUGUAAGGAUCGAGAAAUUAAAUGCUUUCUUCUCAGAGACAUGCUCAUCAUAGUGAUGAAGUAAAGUAGUGGGAUAGCUGAAUUCAAGUGAAGAGUACAGCACAAGAUUUGGUAAGGGCUGGUCCAUGGGCAUCUAUCUGGAGCAAGUUGAGACUGAAAAAUACUCCCUAAUUCUAGAGCAAGUGAAUCAAAGUAUUUUUAACUGCCGAAUGAAAAAGCCACACUUCUAAAGAAAGAAAGGAUUUAAAGAAGUGCAAGAUCCUUGUGUCUCCGAAAGAAGCAGAUUGACAAGAGCUGAGAAAUCAAAAUAUGUUCUCCUCCAACCACCUGAACUUAGUCAUCAAAGAUCUUGAGAAGCUGAAGAACAGUAUCUUGAUAAUUCAAUUAAAGUAUGGAGAAGCAUUUUUCCAGUUAGUAAAGCUGCAGGAACAAGUACAAGAACUUGAACACACAUUGAAGUAUCACAAGCAACUCUGCCUUCAGGUCAGGGUAAUAUUAAUCUUAUCAGAAAACUUGUCUUUUGUCAUAUCUUCAAGUUACUUCUGUUGCUGCUUGGUGCUAUGUUUCCUCCUCUUCUUUUUGUUAUACACUAUCCACCUCAUCACAUUGAGAAAUUUUCCUGAUAGGACACUUCAGUUUCUUUUCAAGCAUGGAGAGGUACAGAACUCAUCACAUGUUCCAGGGUUGAAAAGAGGUGGAAAUGUCCUGAAAGGAGGGAACUCUGAAUACAGGCCAGCAAUUGUAUUUAGAGUUCUUACCUCUUAUUACACUUUGCUCACAUGCUUAUAAUGGAAAAACAGUGGAUGGGAUGGGAACAAUCAAAGUUUCCUGUCCUGUUUCAUUGCCCAACUUUCAGCAAUGCUUUUAACCUCGAUCACUGUCUCUUGUAGGAGCCCCCAGAUGGCGUAGUGGACUAAGUGACUUGAAGGUUGGGUUGCUGACCUGAAAGCUGCCAGGUUCGAAUCCCACCUGGGGAGAGUGUGGAUGAGCUCCCUCUAUCAGCUCCAGCUCCAUGCGGGGACAUGAGAGAAGCCUCCCACAAGGAUGGUAAAAACAUCCGGGCGUCCCUGGGCAACGUCCUUGCAGACGGCCAAUUCUCUCACUCCAGAAGCAACUCUGGUUGCUCCUGACACGAAAAAAACCCAAAAAACUGUCUCUUGUAUCCAAUGGGCUUUGAUGCAGAACCAUAGGAUCCCAUGGAAAGAAAUUAUUUUUAACUGGUGUAAGUCUCAUUUAAUGUAAGGAGCUUCGGACAGGGCAAAGGAUCUCUUGGGUUUGGACAUUGUUGUUUCUCCUGAUUAAAAACAAAAAAGGAAUACUGACCUUGUGAUGAAUGUAAGAUGAAUGUAUUACCAGCUCUUAAGUUUCCAUGUGUGUGUGUGAUGGGGAGACAGAAUUUGAAACGGGACUGCUGAUGAUAUAAGAGGAGGGGUCCUCAAACUAAGUCCCGGGGGUCUUACUUGCGGCCCAUCGAAGCCAUUUAUCUGGCCCCUGCGGUGGCAGCUCCCUCCUCCUCCGCUGAGGAAGGUGCAUUGCAGCAAGCUUGGAAGGGAUUAAUCUGAUCUUCUCCCCAACAAAAGCUUCACAGACUUCUGGGAUUAUCUGUCAAGUCUUGUUGAAAUGAAUAGCAUCUUAGAUCUCUGGUUAAAAGUGGGUCUGGAAGAGAUAGCUCUUUGGUAGCAAAUAACAUCGUACUUUGGUUCUUGUCCUGUAUCUUGUCUAUUAUCACUGAGUUAGAAUUCUGGACCCUUGGAUGUUGUAAUCUGAAACCUUGAAUCUGAAUUUUGAACUGAUGUUCUGGCUUUGACUUAUGGAUUUGGAUUUUGUUUUGACCACUGAUUAUCUGACUUUAACUACAAUUUGUACUCUUGAAUUCUGGAAUGUUAUUCUAAGAACCCCGAUAAAUGAACUCUUGGCAUCUGACUUUUGGACUGCAACUUUGGCUACUGUUUAUUCUUACUCCUGACCUGGUUAUGUAGUCCUCAACAUUAAUUCACUCUUGAACUUGAUUUGUGUUACUCCAGCUGUGUGCUGUAAUUUUGUUUUGUUAGACCUGUGAAAGACUCAAAGCUUCUGUUUUCUGUUCAAGUAAAUAUAGUCUUGGCUGAUCUUGUGUUUGUUUGAAUAAAUCUCAGUCCUUGUUACCGGGAGAAUCCCAGAACAUGACAGUCAUGCAGUUUAGUGAGAAUUCCAGGUCAUCCUUCAAAUCUGUAGCAAUCACAACAAAUUUGAGUGCAAUGCAUGCUAAUUUAUGAUGUAGUUGUCAUAAUGCAACUGGAAUGGAAAAUGUGUGUACUGAGCAAAGCUGGAUGGUAAAGUUGCAAAAGACGGAAAUGACUAAUGAAGCAAAGGCGAAACAAUCAAAGCAGUAACUGCUUCAACUUACUGUCAAAAUGUAAGGCUAUAAUUUUAUACCAUGUUUUCCAUUUUCAGUUUUUUCAGUUUUUAAGAGUCAAAUACAUUUUUUAAAAAAAAAUAACUAGGGUAUUUUUUUCCCAAUCCAUUUGGGUUAUUAGAUACCACAAUUGGCUCAUAAAAAUGAAACUAAUAUAUUUCCCCAAAUGUAAUAAAAAGCCUAUUAGCACACUAUUGCCUAGAAACUAAUAUGGAAAAAAUAUAGAGCUCUCGUUUAAAAUAAUCUAUAAUUGAAAACAACAGGGCAG